UACGUAGGGACCGAGCGUUGUCCGGAAUCAUUGGGCGUAAAGAGCGUGUAGGCGGCCAACUAAGUCCUGCGUGAAAUCUCGGGGCUCAACCCCGAGCGGUCGUGGGAAACUGGUUGGCUAGAGUGCGGGAGAGGAGAGUGGAAUUCCUGGUGUAGCGGUGAAAUGCGCAGAUAUCGGGAAGAACACCCGUGGCGAAGGCGGCUCUCUGGGACGGUACUGACGCUGAGACGCGAAAGCGUGGGGGAGCGAACAGG
rnacentral:rRNA from 1 species